GCAAACUUGGUCAUUUAGAGGAAGUAAAAGUCGUAACAAGGUUUCCGUAGGUGAACCUGCGGAAGGAUCAUUAACGAGUGCCGAAAGGGUUGUAGCUGGCCCCUCACCGGGGGCAUGUGCACGCCUGCUCAUCCGCUCUACACCUGUGAACCACUGUAGGUCGGUGUCGGGGGACCCUUUGCGGGGGUCCUCUGCGCCCUCCUAUGUAUCAUUACCAACCAUGUCAGUCAAAGAAUGUGAUCGCGAUAAUACGCAUCUUAUACAACUUUCAGCAACGGAUCUCUUGGCUCUCGCAUCGAUGAAGAACGCAGC
rnacentral:misc_RNA from 1 species